UACGGGGGGGGCAAGCGUUGUUCGGAAUUACUGGGCGUAAAGGGCUCGUAGGCGGCCAACUAAGUCAGACGUGAAAUCCCUCGGCUUAACCGGGGAACUGCGUCUGAUACUGGAUGGCUUGAGGUUGGGAGAGGGAUGCGGAAUUCCUGGUGUAGCGGUGGAAUGCGCAGAUAUCAGGAGGAACACCGGUGGCGAAGGCGGGUCUCUGGGCCGUUACUGACGCUGAGGAGCGAAAGCGUGGGGAGCGAACAGG
rnacentral:rRNA from 1 species